ACGAAAUACGCAAUUCGUGAAAGAUUCAAUUUUAAAACGAGAGAUCGAAUGCUAUAAGCUACACUCUGGCAUGCUGGUCGCCAGAAUGUAAAUGGAAAUUCAGAGCGUCGAGAAUUGGGGAUUCUGAAAUGUUCAGGGUUAGAGCUUUCGAUGACGAACAUACAUGUCCGUUGAAGGACAAGGUGUAUUCACAAAGGCAGGCAACAAGUUGGUUUAUUGGAGAAGCGGUUGUGAAGGCGAAAAUAACUAACCAUAAAAGGAAGGUCACACCUGGGGAUAUAAUAGAUGAUGUUAAGAAUGAAUUCGGCGUAGAUGUUUCUUAUAUGAUGGCAUGGAGAGCUAGAGAGAAGGCUAUAAAAGAUUUCAGAGGUGAUCCAGCUGAUUCAUACAAGAAGUUGCCGGCAUAUAUAUACAUACUUGAUAAAACGUAUCUGGAUCGCUCGUUAAAAUGCAUAAAUCACCAGAAAAUGAGUUUAUGUAUUUGUUUGUAGCACUCAAAGCACUCAUAAAGGGAUUCGAGUGUUGUAGACCAAUAGUUGUAGUGGAUGGUGCACACCUUAAAUCAACGUAUAAUGGUACAUUUGUGUCGGCAAGUACUUUGGAUGGAGCAGGUAAUAUCCUACCACUAGCGUAUGGUGUGAUAGAUUCUGAGAAUAAUAAGUCGUGGACGUGGUUCUUUGAACUGUUCAAGCGAGCUUAUGGUGUUAGGCAAAAUAUGUGUGUCGUGUCCGAUAGACAUGAAAGCAUA